UACGUAGGGGGCUAGCGUUAUCCGGAAUUACUGGGCGUAAAGGGUGCGUAGGUGGUUUCUUAAGUCAGAGGUGAAAGGCUACGGCUCAACCGUAGUAAGCCUUUGAAACUGGGAAACUUGAGUGCAGGAGAGGAGAGUGGAAUUCCUAGUGUAGCGGUGAAAUGCGUAGAUAUUAGGAGGAACACCAGUUGCGAAGGCGGCUCCCUGGACUGUAACUGACACUGAGGCACGAAAGCGUGGGGAGCAACAGGAUUAGAUACCCCUGUAGUCCCUGAG
rnacentral:rRNA from 1 species